UUCUCCGUAGCAAGCUGGGGCCCGUUGCACAAAAGUAGGAUUAAGACAUCCAGGAUAAGUGACUGAGCCGGGCUCAAAGAAUCCAAAACAACAGCGUCCAGGCUCAGUUGGUUGCACAAAGCCCAAUCCAGGAUGAGCAGACACGGAUUCAUCAAGCCAGGUGAAACCUAUCCUGGAUAAGUGCGCGCUCGCGGCUCCUUCAGAUAGACCCCGCCACCGAUCACAGAUUCACUGAUUCACCAUGGCGAGUAGAGCGGCUUACUUUUCCCCGUCGGAGGGAGAAAUCCGGUUGGAGGCAUACGAGGAGGUAAAACACAUAAUUAAAAAAGUAAGGCAACACCGCCACAGUGAUAAAGCAAAGAGAAAACGCGUGGCAAAGUAUUGCUGACCGCCUGAAUGUGUAAGUAGUGCACAACUACACACUCACCGCUCCGCUGAAACAUCACAAUUACAAUCCAAAUAGUUAAUUCACAUCUCCAAAAACGCAGUUGUACUCUGACUAUGAAUGAGUUGAAUUUUUAAUUGAAGUGGACUAUAAAUAUGACUGAAAUUGUGUAAAUAUAACUCCACCAGACUGUAUUAUUCUUUGAUAAAUAGAUGAGCUAAUAAUAGUAAUAACAACUUUAAUUUAUGUAGCGCCUUUCAAAUGACCCACGGUCACUUACUGACUUCAUUGGAUUUCCUUUUGGAAUAGAUACAUUUUCUCUUUUCUUAUAUUUAGGGUGUAGCCUAUGUGUCUUCAUCUGUAAGAAAAGAUAAACAAUAGCUACUCAAUAAAAUUGAGGCAACAGAUUGCACGCAAUAUUAUUAAUUAAAUCUAACUACAUUACAAGUUGAGUUAAUAACAACUUAACAGGACGUGUCUGUCAAUUAAAAACGGACUAAUUCUGUUGUGUUGAAUUCAUUCAAAAUUCUCUUGAUUUAGAAUUACAUCCACAUAAAGAUGAUAUUUAAUGUGAUCAAAAUAAGCAGAUUCUAUCUCAAACAUUUUUAUAUUAAAGUUACUUAAACAACUGCCUCAAAAUUAAGGACACAUUUAUAUUUAAUACACUUGAUCAAAUAUAUAAAGUAAAAUGAAAUGACUACAGAAUAAUUUAUUACAGUGUCCUUCACUGGUCACAGAAGACUCUGUGACAUCAAAGAGGAGUUCUAUAGGAUUGCAGAUGGUCUGCAAUGCUGACUGUCUGAUCAACAGACAUGGACUGAGCCAGGCAAAAUGGCCUCAGUCCAUGACUCCAGAGUCUUUGGGACUUCUGAAAUCUGUCAGCGCCUAUCACAAGGUGAAUUCUCUGGUGUGUUGCUGGGAGACAGAGGGUCUGCCUGCCAGCCUUUUCUCCUGACACCAUCCACAGACCCCCAGGAUGCACAGCAGGCCUACAAUCAUGCUCAUGCCAGGACCAAGACCAGAGUUGAGAUGACCUUUGGCCUCCUGAAGGCACGCUUUCAGUGUCUUCACUGUCCUCCACAAUGUGGCCUGCCUGAGGAAAGAGAGGGCCCCCAGAGGGCCCCCAGCCAUGGACUGGGACAAUCCUGCAAUCUUCCCUGAUGACAACAGUGGUCGGAUGGUGAGGGACCAAUAUGUGUUAAAUUAUUUUAGUUAAUAUGCAUGCUUUAAAUUUAAGUUAAAUAUGUCCUGCAGUGGCAGAGGAAUUUGUGUGUUUUUUUUAUUUAUUUUUUUAUAGAUUUGGCCUCUUAUGAUGAUUGUGCUGUAUACUGUGUGUAUACAAGCUUGCAGGGAGGCUACUGCAUCAUUUGUCUGUUCAUUCGAUGUGUAUGGAUUUGUCCUGCAUUUAUUUCAGUGUGCAGACAUGCAGGGUGUAUUAUAUUCAGACCUUUGAAUGUGUAUUUAUCAUUGUGUUGUAUAAUAUACUUUGAUUCUGUGCUUUCUAUCUUGAAGAGUCACUGUGUCUUCAGUUUUGAAAGGAGCCGAUGUUUUACCUGUUUUGCUUUAUCCUUAUUCAAUAAAGGAACAUAAUGUUA